rnacentral:rRNA from 1 species
GCCUACGGGGGGCAGCAGUGAGGAAUAUUGGUCAAUGGCCGGAAGGCUGAACCAGCCAAGCCGCGUGAAGGACGAAGGUGCCAAGCAUUGUAAACUUCUUUUGUCAAGGGACAAAAUCAGGCUCGAGAGCCUGACCGAGGGUACUUGAAGAAAAAGCAUCGGCUAACUCCGUGCCAGCAGCCGCGGUAAUACGGAGGAUGCGAGCGUUAUCCGGAUUUAUUGGGUUUAAAGGGUGCGCAGGCGGAGGUGCAAGUCAGCGGUCAAAUUGCGGGGCUCAACCCCGUACUGCCGUUGAAACUGCAUCC